ensembl:snoRNA U8 U8 small nucleolar RNA
UCAACUGUAUAUCUAUACCUGUGCCUCAUGCAUAAAAAGAGUAAGACUGAACAUGAUGAUUGGAGAAUGCAUGAAACGUGAUUAACGUCUCUGCGUAAUCAGGACUUGCAACACCCUGAUUGCUCCUAUCUGAU